rnacentral:rRNA from 1 species
GUCUAUGGCCAUACCACCCUGAACGUGCCCAAUCUCAUCUGAUCUCGUAAACUAACCAGGGUCAGGCCUGGUUAGUAUUUGGAUGGGAGAAAGAUCUCAGGGCGAUCUGGACC